CUCAGGAUGAACGCUAGCGACAGGCUUAACACAUGCAAGUCGAGGGGCAGCGAGGGCGUAGCAAUACGCCUGUCGGCGACCGGCGCACUGGUGAGUAACACGUAUGCGACCUGCCCCCUACAGGGGUAUAACCCGUAGAAAUGCGGACUAAUCCCCCAUAGUCCUGGGUGCUGCAUGGCAUUCAGGGGAAAGGCCAGCCGGUAGGGGAUGGGCAUGCGGCGCAUUAGCUAGUUGGCGGGGCAACGGCCCACCAAGGCGACGAUGCGUAGGGGUUCUGAGAGGAAGGUCCCCCACAUUGGAACUGAGACACGGUCCAAACUCCUACGGGAGGCAGCAGUGAGGAAUAUUGGUCAAUGGACGUAAGUCUGAACCAGCCAAGUAGCGUGCAGGAUGACGGCCCUAUGGGUUGUAAACUGCUUUUAUGCGGGGAUAAAGUGUGGGACGUGUCCCAUAUUGCAGGUACUGCAUGAAUAAGGACCGGCUAAUUCCGUG
rnacentral:rRNA from 1 species